AAACAGCGCUGCAGCAGCGCUGGCAGGAGCUGCUGCGGCUUCCCAGGCACACGGAUUCACGGUGCAUGGAUGUGGUGGAAGAAGGUAGGACUUCAUGGGAAAGGAAGCUGUUCCUUGCCAGAAAGGGAUGAAAGAAAAAUUGCAAGGUAUUCUUGUCCAGCCUCAGCCUGUUACUUCUAUAGCCGGAGAAAGCAUUUUGUUUUAUUUUCUGCCAUGUGCUUUGCUGUGCCAAAGCCCUGUGGUGACACUGAGACACAGCUAUUUGGGGCUCUCUGAUCAGUCUUAGCUAUGCUCAGCCAGCCAUGCUCUGUAAGGGGUAUUGGCCUUACUCUCUGCAAAGUGAAGCAUGACGCCAAGUUCAAGGCAUCACAAACUAUCUUCAUGGGAAGAAGGAAUCCUUGAUGGAGGGUGGAGUGCCACCGUACAAGCUUGUUGUUGAUUUUGGGGUAGUUUUUAAUGUUUCAGGCAACACCUGCCACCAAAGGCAAACAGUUGUACUCAUCAAUAAGGGCAGUUUCCUGAGUUAGAUUUCCCCCUCCUGCAUGAUGUUUCCCCACCAUUGCCUCUUUCGUUACAGAAAGGGUUUGACAACUCAUCACCAGAUGCUUGGAUCCCCAAGCCAUCCUCUGCACACUUCCCCUCUGAGGCAGCUAUGGCUGGGACUGGACCAGUACUGGGCCAGCCCUGUUGUGUUGUUGUUGGCCACACAGUGCAGCUUUGUAUUGCAAAUGGACCACUGGUCCAGUCAGAUAGAAACAUAUGGAUAUGAACAAGUGCAUUUACAGUCAUGGUCCUGGAAAUAAUCUAGUCUUCAAUAAGAUCAAUUAGUCCUUCUGUUUAUGAAAUUUCCAGGGCUAUAUUACAUGGUAAAUCCUGUAUUUUCCCCUCCCACAUUUACAGCAUACUCAGUAUAAUUCAAAUGUUGCUAACAAGUUUGUUCAGUAUUAUUUGGAUGUAAUCCACUCCUUAUUUCAGUACAUAAGGGGAUACUCAGGACUUUUAGAACAAGUCAUACAGGAACCUUAUACAGUGUGUGAUAAAAUACAGUGUCUGGUAAGAAAUUAAAAUUUUGGCCAUCUCCAGGAGAGAACAGUGUGUGAUAUCCUCAUCUGAACCAGCUGCCUCUGAGUCCUGCAGCUCUCUCUCAGCAGCACCAGUGCCACCAGUACCAGCCCACUUGCCGUAGUGGUGCUUGUUCUGACAAGCCAGUAUGCUAGCAAGCACAAAGGCAUGCAUAUAAUGCUCAAUACAUGAGAAUUUCCAUUAGACCAAGGACAGGCUGAAGUGAUUUGGUGGACUGUAAGAAAGUUUGGUGGAAGUAAUUUUAAAUCCUUUAUUUUAAUAAAUACACCUUUAUAAUAGGCAGCUUGGCAAUUAUGUAGUAUGUCUUGAUGCCUCUUUUGGUAGUUGGUGGCUAACUUUAAAGCUUUGCUCUGUUGUUCAGUUUCUUUUUUCACAUUGGGCCACAUAAAUGAAGGGAAUAUUUAAAUAAUUUUAGUUCCUGUAUAAAGCUGCUGUAGCUGACCUUUUCUAGAACUAAUAAUUAAUUUGGGGUUUUGGACUGACAUACUCUAGUGUCUGCACCAACUAAGGGGAAAGAGUUCCAGGAUAGUAUCCAGACCUGAUGAAAACAAAUCAGCACAAUUUUUCACAUAUACAUUCAUUUAACUGGAGGUAAAACAGUGUAAGAACAAGGCCCCAGGGCCCUCAGCUGAACACAGCAGAUGAAGCAGGUUAUAUGCCAUGAGGUGCUGUCCAGAAAUUGUGGGGUUGGACUGCCACUAUGCUCACAGAAGCACCAUCAUCCCUGCCGUGCUUGGCUGCCUAUGUCUCUCUGUGUUCAUGUGUUUACAUUUCCAUUUAAAUUUACCUGCAAGUCUGAUUUUUCUAGAGUUUUAACAUACUUUGUUUUGAUAGAUAAUUGCUACAGUCCUGUGAUAUGUUUUACUUGGAGUUUAUUAAUCUGCUCCCAGCUAUAAUUCCAUUUUAGCCUAGUUUUGUCUAAGAAAUAUGAAAUGUUUUGUUAUUCCCAGAGCAACAGAUGUGAAUAUCAUCCUGAGGAUGAGAAGCUUAUCAAGUGCCCAGUACAGUACUUUUCACUGAUAUUUCAAGAAACUCUUUAUCCUGAGUCUCUCUCUGAGAGGAGACACUGCUUUUUGAGCCCUGGAUCACACUGAAGUUUUACUUUAUGGAGGCUAUGGGGGAGCAUGCCACAGUUUUCAUUUGUUUUCCCAUGGAAAUUGUAACUCCGUGCAUCUUUCAUGGAUUAGUCAUAUACACUACAGAACAAUGCUUGUGGUUAUCCCAUUUUUUUCCCUUUUGCUAUCUGAAAAAAAAGGUUUCCUCUUUUGAUCAAAAUUGGUUUUGACCACAUCUGGGAGGUGCAAUGAUGAAACAAAAGGAAAUAUCAGGAUCUUUUAAACACUGGAGCAGAGUUGGCAAGUGCCUGGUGAUACCUGUGCGGUCACUGGUACCUGCUAACGUUGUCUUCCUAGAGUUUAAUAGAAUUUCAAGCUGCAUUUGCACUAGAGUUGAUGCUAAAAUUUUCCCAACUUGCUGUUCAACCUUACCACCCACCCACUUUUGAAAGUCUGGUGUGAGUUCCCACUAUGCUGCUCUUGGCCUUCAUAAGUGAAAAUUGCAUAAACCAUUCAUCUGAAAAUCAGGCCCACACUUUUACUGGGCCAGAGUUUUUUGAGGGAUGCAGGCACAGAAAAAUAGUCAAGGUGCUAUUUCUUUUUUGGGCUAAGAUAAGUAAGUGAUAUGGCAGGCUAACCACAGAGGGUGUAGAAAGCUGCACUUACUUUCAUCUAAUGCUUCCCUAUUAACUCAGAAACUGAGACUUUAAUAAUUUAUUGCUAAAUUUCACUCUAGAGGUAGUCUGAGAUUUCCCUCUGCAUUAGAAGACACCAAGGGAAAGUUUCAUAUAAUGCCAGCUGGUAAUUAAUACAAAUAAGUGACAGGAAAUAAGGAGCUGAAACUGUUGAAUUGAAUCAAGCCAUGCCUCCAAGGACUGCAGCAUGGGAACUGCUCACUGUGAGGUUAGGAAGUUCAACGGCCUUUGCUAAAAACAGUCCCUUUUAUUUAACUUUCACUUCUUUUCUCAGUUUUGGGAUGACAUGAUUCCAAGAAGUUCCUGUUUCUUUUCUCCUCCUUUCCAUUCAGCAGGUCUGUGCAAAGGGCUGCUGGAGUGGAGGGGGGGCAAGCACUCCUGUGUGCCGUGCCAUGCCCAGGCAGCCCCUGCAUUGAGCAAUACCAGACACGGGUGUUGAGAGGGAGCGGACCCCUGCUCCUCAACCCUGUGCUGGCCUUGCCCUGAGGGUCACUUGUCAGCAGACAGCCUGGGAAUCAGCUGCUCUUCAGCAUGCUCCUUCUCCCUGCCAGUUCCGAAGGGCACAUGGAGCAUCCAUUGGGGCACAGACACCGUGGCCAGCCUGGCUCAGCACACAUGCAAACCGCUGUCAGGGAAGGUGAGGGUGGAUAGUGGGAACUCUCCCCACAUUUGUGAGGAAUUCCUGUGUAAUGAAACAGCAUUUCAUCCACAACUGCUAUGAAAUGGUCAAAGUAUCGGUGAGGCAAUGAGAUGAAAUAAAUCUCUGGUUAAAACUGA